ensembl:misc_RNA Metazoa_SRP Metazoan signal recognition particle RNA
GCCGGGCAUGGUGGUGCAUGCCAGUAGUCCCGGUUACUCGGGAGGCUGAGGUUGGAAGAUUUCUGGAGUCCAGGAGUUCUGGGCUAUAGUGUGCUAUGCUGAUCGAGUGUCCACACUAAGUUCAGCAUCAAUAUGGUGACCUCCCGAGAGCGGGAGACCACCAGGUUGUCUAAGGAGGGGUGAACCGGCCCAGGUCAGAAAUGGAGCAGGUCAAAAUUCCCGUGCUGAUCAGUAGUGGGAUCAUACCUGUGAAUAGCCACUGCACUCCAGCCUGGGCAACAGAGGGAGAUCCCAUCUUAA